rnacentral:lncRNA from 1 species
UGAGAAGUCCGUCGGUGUUUUGCCUGAUGUAGAAGCUCGUCUGAGGACUGUCCGUCAGAGAGGUCUGGUUUCAAGAGGAAUCUGGCAGAGGAUUGACCGACAGUGGAGUUCGGAUGGCGUUGUGGAGGCCCGUCCACUGGAGGAGUCUUGAAGACACUGUGGAAGGUCGAAUGUUGGAGGAGUCCGGGAUUCAAUUCUGUUGUAGA